CCUACGGGGGGCUGCAGUAAGGAAUAUUGGUCAAUGGAGGAAACUCUGAACCAGCCAUCCCGCGUGUAGGAAGAAGGCCCUCUGGGUUGUAAACUACUUUUAUCUGGGAAGAAAAGCCUGUAUUUAUGCGGGUCUGACGGUACCAGAGGAAUAAGCACCGGCUAACUCCGUGCCAGCAGCCGCGGUAAUACGGAGGGUGCAAGCGUUAUCCGGAAUUACUGGGUUUAAAGGGUGCGUAGGCGGCGCUGUAAGUCAGGGGUGAAAGGUUCCGGCUCAACCGGAGAAUUGCCUUUGAUACUGCAGUGCUAGGAUUGGGUUGAGGUUGGCGGAAUGUGACAUGUAGCGGUGAAAUGCAUAGAUAUGUCAUAGAACACCGAUUGCGAAGGCAGCCAACUGGACCUUGAUUGACGCUGAGGCACGAAAGCGUGGGGAGCAAACAGGAUUAGAUACCCCUGUAGUC
rnacentral:rRNA from 1 species